rnacentral:tRNA from 1 species
UAAAAAUUAGUUAAAUAAAUAAUAUUAAAAUGUCAUUUUAAAGUAAUUAAAUUAAGAGUAAUAUUUUUAG